GUGCCAGCCGCCGCGGUAAUACGGAGGGUGCGAGCGUUGUCCGGAAUCACUGGGCGUAAAGGGCGCGUAGGCGGCGCGGAAAGUCAACGGUGAAAGCUUGGGGCUCAACCCCGAGUCGGCCGUCGAUACUUCCGUGCUCGAGCACUGUAGAGGCAGGUGGAAUUCCGGGUGUAGCGGUGGAAUGCGUAGAGAUCCGGAAGAACACCGGUGGCGAAGGCGGCCUGCUGGGCAGUAGCUGACGCUGAUGCGCGACAGCGUGGGGAGCAAACAGGAUUAGAUACCCCGGUAGUCC
rnacentral:rRNA from 1 species